CAGUCGCCGCGGGAAUACAGAGGAUGCAAGCGUUAUCCGGAAUGAUUGGGCGUAAAGCGUCUGUAGGUGGCUUUUCAAGUCCGCCGUCAAAUCCCAGGGCUCAACCCUGGACAGACGGUGGAAACUACCAAGCUGGAGUGCGGUAGGGGCAGAGGGAAUUUCCGGUGGAGCGGUCAAAUGCGUUGAGAUCGGAAAGAACACCAACGGCGAAAGCACUCUGCUGGGCCGACACUGACACUGAGAGACGAAAGCUAGGGGAGCAAAUGGGAUUAGAUACCCGUGUAGUCCCUGUCUCUUAUAC
rnacentral:rRNA from 1 species